CUCCCACAGUGCUGGAAUUACAGGCACAAGUCACUAUGCCCAGCCACAUUAAACAUUUUCAUCAUACUGUAUGUACAAAGCUUUAUCUUUUUUUAUGCCACUAAACGUUGUUCAGUUAUGACCAUUUCCCUAAUGUGACUAUUCUUAAUAAACAUGAUUUUAAUGGGUGCAUGGUAUUGCAUAUUCUGAAUAUGCCAUAAUAUAUACUGGUCUCCUCUAAAAAUAAGCGUUCAGGUCAUUUCCUUGUUUCAGUUAGAAACCUGUGAUGAACACUUUAUAUAUCAUGCCCCUCUGCAGUGCAGAUACUUUUGGAAGAAUCCCCUUAUAUUCUGUAAUGCUCAGCUUCAUCAUCUUUGAAUUAAUUAAAAGGCGCCUAUCAAUCUUUCUUGAAUGCUGUGUUUGAAGGAAUAAUGAGCCAGAGUUUGUGAAGGUGCUUUGAAGUAGCUGGAUGAAAGGGACUGUGUAAAUCAUAACAGUAGUAGCCCUGCCAGACUGCUCUCACCACACUUGUCUCUUACACUCCAAUACAGGGGCACCGCCACCCAUUCCCAUGCACCCCCACCACUGCUCAGCAAUUUUGCAUGUUGCUUCCAAAGGGGUUGCUCACCCCUGUAUCCAAACAUCACCACCACAGAUAUUCAGUGUCCUGCCCCACACUGCCAGCACUCCCCACCGAGCACACAGCUGGAAGGAAACUUCAAGAUAAUUUGGUCCAACAUCCCAUUUUUUGAAGGUCAGGAAACUAACAUCCAGAAAGGUUAAAUGAGUUUGCCUGGAAUUUCUUUUAAGGAGAUGCAUUUCCUAAGGGUCAUCAUAUUUCUAAAUCAGUAAGAGUGCUAAGUAAUAUGUUUUGUUAAAUCUGCAUGUUUUUAAAGAAACGAAUACAAGAGAAUAAUAACGUUUCCUUUUGGAAGGGAAGAUCUGCCUGCAUGGCCAGUAACCCAGAGCCCAAGCCAGAUAAAAAUAAUGAUUAACGAACGGAUAAACAGGCUCAUAUGCUUCAUACGUGAUAAAUUAAGGGUCUCAUACUGGCCAGAGAAUCAUGUUAUCUAAGUAAUUUUGAGAAGACAGCCCAUGACCUUAAUAAUUUGCCACUUGUUAUGGCAAAGUUAUUUUGAAAGUUUUCUAGGUAACUGAAGGUCCAGUGUAUGUGCCAGGCAUUUAGUAUAAUCUUAUCUUUCCCCAAAUGUGGACAAAAGUGGUUUUUUUCAGUCACAUAUACCACCGCAUUGAGAACUGGACAUUUGAUAAUCAUCAGCGAUUUUCCCUCCAGGGCCUCCUCAGAUGGCUUUUCUUGAUUACAAACUAUUUUGGAAACUCCAAAUUCUUUCCACUGAUUUAGCAACGAAUCCUCAACUUAUUUUUAAACUGCUGUAAUUGAGCAGCUCUGGGGGUUAACUUGUGGAGUCUGGUCACUUUUAGAUCAAAUUAUCAACCAAACACUCUGCUCUUACCAUCUUGGGACCAUCUUCUAUUUCUUUUGCUGAGAAUAGGUUAACCAAGGGACCUUGAAAUCAUUCAAAGCCACAAUACAAAAACAUCACUUUGGCUUCUCCCAAGUUUAUCCUACUCUUCAUCUGGUGCAAGGAAACGAACAGAAAAACCGGACCCUGUUAAUUAUUCCCAAGAUGACAUCAAUGUGCUCUUCCAUGGCCUUCUACAGCUUGGAGCUGAGCUCAAGGAGCAAGGAGUUAUAGCAGAAAGCACACUGGCCACCUGUUUAAGCGACUGGACCCUUUGAACACCUCUUUAGCUGAGCUUCUAGGUCAGCCAGCAGGAGAGAAGGAAAGAGGGCUUUGAGAGGAGAGAGGAGCAGCUCGACAAGAGGAGUGAAGGCCCCUAUCAGCUGGCUGCUGAGCUCCAGUGUCAACUGGUUGCAGGGAUGACCUACAGGGAGGGAUUUAAUGAGGAGCUGAAGUUGCUGGAGCAAAGUUGGAAGAUGCUGCACCCUUUAAGGCAAGUGGGCUUCCAGUGACAAAGGUGAUGGAUGAUGUCAUGACAGAGCCAAAAAAUUGAUGAAGUGGAAAUGCAGCAAAGCCAACUGCAUGAACAAAGAUGCUGUCAUUCAAAAACUACAGGAAAAGGUUGGCGCUUUUUACUCUCUAUAGCAAUUUGUUGUAAAUAGACUGAUCCCAUCAGAGUGAACUUCAAAUGCCUACUAAUGUCAGUAACAUCUUCUGAUUAUCUGGUGUCUUUUAUUCAAGGAUUCAGAAGGAAAUUGCAAAUACAUUAUUUUAAGGUACUUAUGCAAGGAAAACAGCUGAGGAGAUGAUUUUAUCAUUCAUAUUUCACUACCAGCAAAAUCUAUUUUAAAUGUAACAAUAAAAAAUAGCUAACAUUAUUUCAUUCUUACUCUAUGCAGGCACUGUUACAAGCAUCUAUGACAGGUACUACUAUUAGCCUCAUUCAGAAGAUGAUAAAACUGAGGUGUGAAGAGAAUGCAUUAACUUGUACCAGGUUAGAUAAAAGUGCAAAUUCACAAAGGAACCAGUGAAAAAGGAAAACAGAAGGAAAACUCCUGAUGUGUAGGUUGAAGAGAACAUUCUGUCUUCAGAAAUCAGAGCAAGAAAAAUGGAAGGCCAGGCUGCAAUAUUUCACAUAAACGCUGGUACUGUACUCUGAACAUCAGGGACCUCUACACCCCUCACAAACAGCAAAUGCAGUUAAGACGCCAGAAAAAAAAAAUGGUAUCAAAUUGUUUAAAAACUCUACAAUAAAUGGUCCAAUAUUCUUUCUCUAUGAUUUUGUAAUGUUAAAAAAAUCCACUGAAAGUCAGAAAUCAAAUGACAGAAAGAGAGAAAGAGAAAGAGAGAGAGAGAGAAAUAAAACAAUAGCCAGUCUUAAUGUCUCUUAUGGUACCACUUUUAAAGAUUUCUUUCAGUGAGAAAACAAUCCAUGCUUUUUCAACUGAUGAUCUGCAAUUUGAAUAUGAGAUAUGGUGAUUUUAUACAGCACAACUCUUAUUACUACUAAUUGAUCUUUGAACAUGAAUUGAUUAAAUAUAGCUGCUAUGAUAUUUGUAGAAUACCUUUUCUAUUACAUUAAUCUCCAUCCCAUUCUUUUCUAUGAGAUAAGUAAAAGUUCCUUUUGAGUGAGAGAUUGGAAAACCAGCAUUCCUUCUGCUAAAUAAAGCAGACCCUCAAGAAUGCUAUCUUUUAGAAAUGGGUGAAAGGAGCCAUCCUUAAAACCCACUUCACUUGUUUAAGUCCAACUAGUUUUCAAUAGCAAAGACCCAAAGGGAAAGCUAGAGUGUUUAUGGUCUUAGGUCUUAUCCAGAUCAGAUUCCCAUAGAAAAGAAUCACAAAUAUCCAAGCAUUCGAAAUCUGCUGGGGAAACCUAACUGCUUUAAGAAAAAAAAAAAUUCUCUCCCCGAUCCUGAUUGAAAAUGAUUUCUAAACCAUACUUUGUUGAACCAACUGAAAUUUUUUUCAAGUAAGAUGCCCAUGUUAGCAGAUUUCCUUCUGAAACACUGCUUGGUAGAUUUAAUAUAUUAAGAGGUUUAUAUAUAAUUCACUCUCACCUUAGUAUGAAUUGGUUUACUCACCCUCCCUCCUUACAAAAAGCUUGGAUUUAUGGACUGAAGGUGUGCAUGAAGAAAAGGAAUAAAAAGAGGAUAGGGUAAUCACUGACUAGGAAGCACUGCUUUGGGGAAGAUCUGGAUGCUUAGAGGCUUAAGGAAAGUGAUGAAGCAAGGGAAGGUGGGAAGGGACCCAAACCAAAUUUUUUCUUUUUUUUUUUUUUUUGAGACAGAGUCUCGCUCUGUAGCCCAGGCUGGAGUGCAGUGGUGCAAUCUCGCCUCGCUGCAAGCUCUGCCUCCUGGGUUCACGCUAUUCUCCUGCCUCAGCCUCCGGAGUAGCUGGGAUUACAGGCGCCUGCUACCACGCCUGGCUAGUUUUUUUUGUAUUUUUAGUAGAGACGGGGUUUCACUGUGUUAGCCAGGAUGGUCUCAAUCUCCUGACCUCGUGAUCCGCCCGCCUCGGUCUCCCAAAGUGCUGGGAUUACAGGCGUGAGCCACCACGCCCAGCCAAAAUUUUUUACUCUACAUUUUUUUCUUAAGAUUGACAAGACAGUCAAAAGGUCCACUGGAUAAAUGUAUCUUUCCUAACUCGCAGCCACUGUCCUUGGAACCCAGGAUGUGGUUUGAAGGGUCUAAGUGAUCUGGAUUUACUUUUUCUUAUUUGUCUUGUGGUUUCUGUAUAGGGAUGGCUCAGAAAUAUGUUCACCAGCUAGAGCCCCAUGUUGGUUUAUUAGAAUCCUAUUUCCAGUGUGGUUUUCUUUUUCUGCCUGAAAGUCAUUUACUAAGAAUGUAUUUUUUUCUAAAUGGGGGAAGGAUUGGAACUACUUUAGCAAGAAACAUUUCAGACAGCCUGCAAAUCUCACCUUUCCAUAGCUACAGUGACCAUUUCACUCAGUACUCUGUACAUUUGAUAAUAUGUAUGUAGAUCUGCAGAUGCUUGGGAGGUGAGUGUGCG
rnacentral:lncRNA from 1 species